rnacentral:rRNA from 1 species
UCUACGGGUGGCAGCAGUGGGGAAUAUUGGACAAUGGGCGAAAGCCUGAUCCAGCCAUGCCGCGUGUGUGAAGAAGGCCUUCGGGUUGUAAAGCACUUUCAGUGGGGAAGAAAGCCUUGGGGCUAAUACCCUCGAGGAAGGACAUCACCCACAGAAGAAGCACCGGCUAACUCCGUGCCAGCAGCCGCGGUAAUACGGAGGGUGCGAGCGUUAAUCGGAAUUACUGGGCGUAAAGCGCGCGUAGGCGGUCUGAUAAGCCGGUUGUGAAAGCCCCGGGCUCAACCUGGGAACGGCAUCCGGAACUGUCAGGCUAGAGUGCAGGAGAGGAAGGUAGAAUUCCCGGUGUAGCGGUGAAAUGCGUAGAGAUCGGGAGGAAUACCAGUGGCGAAGGCGGCCUUCUGGACUGACACUGACGCUGAGGUGCGAAAGCGUGGGUAGCAAACAGGAUUACAUACCCUGGUAGUC